rnacentral:rRNA from 1 species
GACGAACGCUGGCGGCGUGCUUAACACAUGCAAGUCGAACGGUGAAGGGAAGCUUGCUUCCCGGAUCAGUGGCGAACGGGUGAGUAACACGUGGGCAAUCUGCCCCAGACUUUGGGAUAACUACUCGAAAGAGUAGCUAAUACCGAAUAUUCAGCCUUGCAGGCAUCUGCGAGGCUGGAAAGUUUCUCGGUCUGGGAUGAGCCCGCGGCCUAUCAGCUAGUUGGUGAGGUAAUGGCUCACCAAGGCGACGACGGGUAGCCGGCCUGAGAGGGCGACCGGCCACACUGGGACUGAGACACGGCCCAGACUCCUACGGGAGGCAGCAGUGGGGAAUAUUGCGCAAUGGGCGAAAGCCUGACGCAGCAACGCCGCGUGCGGGAUGAAGGCCUGGUUGUAACGACGUUCUAGCAGGAAGAAGACGAAGUAGACGGUA